rnacentral:misc_RNA from 1 species
UAACUAGGAGGAACAGCGUCGUUAACGGGAUACUCCUGUGAGUUUGCACCCUGAUCGAGUCUUGACUCUGCAGACAUGAAUCCCAAAAACUCAUCUUUCCGAAGGAGGCUUGAGGAAGGUGCAUGGCCUAAGGCCGCAGCAGCCUCCCAGCUAGAGGCACAUGUAAAUAGCGGCCUGGAGCGCACGCGAAAUGCUCCUCAGCUCUACAAGUUCCAAAGCCCGUCAUCCUUCAUAUUUCAUGGGUCUUCGGUGACAUCGGAGAAACUCACUCAAGACCUGCGGAGAGCGGAGGGCAUGUGCACAGCCGCAGACCCGACUGCUGCUGCCAGUGUUCCUUAUGAUAAAGAUGUGGAGCUGCUUCGCAUGAUUCAAAAAGCAAGUCGCAGGCCUGCUAGGGCACGCGAAAAGCGUGUUGCGCCGAAAGAUGAGCCGAUACUGCGAAACAUUCACACAUCUGAAGAGGCUGUUGCUUUUUUCACUGCCAAUGGCGAUUCCACGAGCGUGAAGCAUGUUUUCCUAAACUAUGCGCCAAAGGGGUUAGAUUUUUGCCCGUACGAUUUGGUGGCUACAAAGAAGGGCUCUGAGGAGCCCGAGCACUACAUACUGAGCGCGACCGGAAUUGUGCAUGUGCGGCCUGGCAUGCCGUCGGAGGUGAUGACCCUUGCUGACUGGAUGAAAGAGGCAUCGCUGUUCAACAUCCUGCGCAAAAUUCCAUUUUUCAAGAACUUCUUGCUUUACAAAGCAUUUCUUCGUCUGCAAAUGAAGCUAAAGCAGCGCAAGUACGCCGCAACCCGGAGGUCGCUUGUGAAGGACCUACUAGUUGCGAGACCUACGUUUGCCUAUCCGAUACUGGACUUGGUGAAGUACUCACAUACUAUAUCCGACGCGAAGCUGAUCGAGUACGAUCCGCAGGGCAAGCACGAUUACGUUGUGGACGAUUACAGUCUCGGGCAAUCGAUUCAGCGGCAGAAGGCUUCCGUGUUUAUCAACGGCGUCAUGGAGCACAUGGAGGAGAAGGUGACAAAAUUGGUAGAGGUUCUGCAGCACCGUGCAGACGUCCCCGACAUUAACACACGAGAGGCACUAGCGCAGUGCCUUCUCACGGUUGCCGCCAGUGAAGUCUCUGAUACCCGGGUGAAGCGCAAGGAAAAGUCGAUGCUCGACGCACGCGAGGACUUGGAGCGGCGAAUGCGUGAACUGAAGCGAAGUCUAGUCGAAUACUCGAAACUGCACGUCUUUACUCGGCUCAUCGACUUCCUAACGUCUGAGCGGCUCUUCCAGCGGGUGCUAUCUGUUUUCCAGACUUUUCUCAAUCUCGUUCGUGGACAAGCGCAAAGCGAGGUUCGAAAAGUCGGCUUCCAGGUGCUUCUACGUCCCGAGGAGUCAACCAUCGUUUUUGACCCGAAAGAGUCCGCUUUUCGCGCUCUUUUUGCGGAGCUGCUCUCUGGUUGCGCAGACACGGCCACUGUGGGGCCCCGCUUAUGCGAACAAAAGCACUUCAAAGCUCUUUUUCCGUCGCCGCCGACGGUGUGGAGCAUUGGCGAUGAGCUGAGGACGAAUGCUAGAGUGGUGUACAUUCAUACAGCGCUGCUUUCGAUUCUGCACAGUGACUACGAAAAAGCUGACAGCCGCCUGGCCACAUACCUUGCAACCGUGCCACAUAUUCAGUUUUUGCAAAAAUCGUGGGAGGCGAUUUCGGAAGAAUGCAAGCAGGAAGCAAGCGAGGCGGUUUUGUCAGCUGCGAGCCUAGCGAAGCUGUACCGCCGCCUCCAAGAAGCCCAGGACUCGCUUCGUGUGCUCAUCGCCACAUACGUUGGAUGCUUGCUGUGGAUAAAUGCUGCAAAGCUGAAGACGGAGAUCGAGCCGCGCAUGACAAUCCUGCGUGAUGCAAUCAGCGCCUGCUUGCGGAACACGGCGCGCGACAUGAUCAGAGAGCUGAACGCCUAUUUCAAGUCCAAAGCGCAGGCCAUGAACGAGCGCCCGCAGGUGCUGCGCGAGUUCGCCGACUACACUGCAGUGUUCAAAGAAAUAGCUGAAAACACCAGCGAAACAGACGCGAAGGUUUCGCAGGUGGAGGCGCUCUGCGACCUAAUGGACAAGCAGCAGGUCGACUUCAGCGAUGACGAAGACAAUCAGCUGCGCGAGCGCACGUUGGGCGGCAGUUCUGCGACAAAGUCUCUGCACAGCCUCUUUGAUGAAGCCCGGAUUCAUGCAGAACAGUUUAUCGAGGAGGAAAUGCCUGCGCAUGUCGACACGCUGCAGUCAGAGGUGGCAAAUGUAGAGGAGCAGUGCGGUGGUCUUAACGAAAUUUUGCUAGGUGAAGAAUUCUCUCUCCUGACCGACCGCACGGAACCACUCCUUCAAUACCUGGCUGACAUAAAUGCUAAGCUGGGCGAGGUGGAGAUGAGAGAGGGGCAACUGAGCCGCUUUGCGGCUCUUUUCAACUUACCACCUUUUGACUGGACAUUCGUCAGCGACGUGAAAACGCUCUACCAAGCACGCGAGGAAACGUGGAGUAUGCUAGACUCAUUCAAUAAAAAGUCAGAGUACUGGUUUGAAACUCCCGUCAAGGAGCUGGACACUAUCGAAAUGGAGGAGCAGGUGAAUCUUAUGAUUCGUCGCGCAGGCUUGGUAAACCGCACGAUGCUGGAGCGCAACUACGAAGAUCAGGUGGCACCGCAUUUGUUGGAGGAGUUGCAAUCUCUCCGCGCCAACAUGCCUGUGAUUCACGAUUGUGGCAACAAGCAUAUGACAGCAGAGCACUGGAACACCGUGCUGAAGCAAGUCACAGGCACCGCCUACGGCUACCACGAUGACCUGAACCUGAACUCGCUGGAGGAGUGGGACAUCUUUUCCUUCAAAGAGGCACUAGCGGAGCAGUCUGGUCUUGCGACUGGCGAAUGGAAGAUUUCCAACGAUUUGGACUUGAUCCGGCAGCGGUGGGACACCUUGAACUUCAUGACUAAGCCGUACAAGGACCGCGACGGUGUAUUCAUUUUGGAUGACUUGGAGGAAGUGAUUCAGCAGUUAGAUGAUCAUCAAAUCGAGCUGCAGACCACGAUGGCAUCGCGAUUUGUUGCAUCUGUGCGACACAAGGUAGAAAAGUGGAUGCGCGAUCUUCGAGUUGUGGGCAAUGUCAUUGAGGAGUGGAUUACGCUGCAGAAGAACUGGAUGUACCUGGAAUUUAUCUUUUCCUCUGACGAUAUCAAGGAGCAGCUGCCUGAGGAAAGCGAGAUGUUUGACGGUGUGGACCGCUUGUUUCGCUCGCUCACGUCAAAGGCGCACAUCCAGAAGAACGUGUUUCAGAUCUGCACCGAGGACGGGGUGUUGGAGGACUUACAGAGAAAUAAUGCGAACAUAGACGUCAUUCAAAAAAAAUUGGAGGACUACCUGGAGACGAAGCGCAUUGCUUUCCCACGCUUUUACUUCUUGUCCAACGACGAGCUGCUCUCCAUUUUGUCAGACGUGCGGAAUCCAAAGGCUGUUCAGCCGCACUUGUCCAAAUGCUUCGACUCCAUUGCGUCGCUGCUCUUCUCUGACGAGGAGUGCUCCGAGAUUGUUGGGAUGGUCUCAGGGGAGGGCGAGCAGGUGCCCUUCGAGACGCCCGUGUACCCUAUCGGCAACGUGGAGCAGUGGCUGAGCGACAUUGAGCGUGUGAUGAAGACGUCGCUCCUCUUGCACAUGCACCGCACCAUCGAAAUGGCGCCCCAGCGCAAGCGGGAGGAGUGGAUCUUCCAGCAUCCGGCGCAGUGCAUUCAGGCUGUGGACAUGAUUCUCUGGACGGGUGAAGUGGAGGCGGCUAUCGACAGCGCAUCGCUUCAGCCUUUCUACAACGAUUACCACGGCCAAAUUCUCAGCAUGGUCGAGCUGACACGUCAACCUUUGUCGAAGCUGCAGCGUAUGCUUGUCGGCACUCUGAUUGUCCUGAAUGUGCACAACCGCGACAUCGUGCACAACCUGAGCGACGAGAGCGUGGCGAGUGUGGACGACUUUGCAUGGUAUCAGCAGCUGCGUUACUACUGGGAGCCGGACCCACGCCAGGCGCAAAGCGGCGGCAACAACGUCGCGAUCCACCACUGCAACGCGCAUCUUUGGUACGGCUACGAGUACCUCGGCAACCAGCCGCGUCUCGUCAUCACCCCACUCACCGAUCGUGCCUUUUUGACCUGCACCAAUGCACUCGCGAUGAACCUCGGCGCCGCCCCGCAGGGUCCCGCAGGUACCGGAAAGACAGAAUCAGUGAAAGAUCUCGGCAAGGCGCUGGCGAGGCAGGUUGUCGUCUUCAACUGCUCCGACGGCAUUCACUAUAAGACGAUGUCGCGCAUGUUUGCCGGCUUGGCGCAGGCUGGCGCCUGGGCCUGCUUCGACGAGUUCAAUCGUAUUGAGCUGGAGGUGCUCUCCGUGAUUGCGCAGCAAAUGCUCGACAUUGUUCUGGCACUGGAUCAGCGGUUGGAACGGAUGGACUUUGACGGGCACCCGAUCCGCCUCAGCCCCAACUUUGGUGUCUUCGUCACCAUGAACCCCGGCUACGCCGGCCGCACGGAGCUGCCCGACAACCUCAAGGCACUCUUCCGACCGAUUUGCAUGAUGAUCCCAGACUACGCCUUGAUCGCGGAGAUCAUGUUCUACUCCGAAGGCUUCGCUAACGCGCGGACGCUGGCGCAGAAGAUGGUGCAGCUGUACAAGCUCAGCUCCGAGCAGCUGUCGAAGCAGGACCACUACGAUUUCGGUAUGCGCGCCGUCAAGUCGAUCUUGGUCAUGGCCGGCUCGCUGAAGCGGCAGAGCCCGAACGAGAGUGAGGACAUGCUCCUGAUCCGGGCGAUGCGGGACGCGAAUGUGCCGAAGUUCCUUCGCGACGAUACAACUCUUUUCAUGGCGCUCCUCAAGGACCUGUUCCCGACUGUCGUGGUGGAGGAGAACUCGAACACGCUGCUGCUCGACUACAUCCACCGCCAGCUCACGGCGGACGGGCGGCAGGUGGUGGAUGGCCUCGUGACGAAGGCGAUGCAGCUGUACGACACGCUUGUCGUACGGCACGGCGUGAUGUUGGUGGGGCAGACCUUCAGCGGCAAGUCCACCGUGCUGCACACUGUUAAGCAGGCGCUCACGCGCAUCAAGCAGGACGGCCACGACGCCGAGGGCAACUUACCGCUCUUCAACCCUGUGCACAUCCACCUUCUGAAUCCCAAGUCCGUCUCCAUGGGCGAGUUGUACGGGCAGGUGAACGAGAUUACGCGCGAGUGGACGGAUGGUAUUCUGAGCAACAUCGCCCGCGGCAUUACCCGAGCGGCCUUGACGAAACUUGACCGGCAGUGGGUUGUGUUCGACGGCCCCGUCGACGCUGUCUGGAUCGAGAAUAUGAAUACGGUCCUCGAUGACAACAAGCUACUCUGCCUCUUCAACGGCGAGCGCAUCAAGUUGCCGGCGACGGCCACGUUCAUAUUCGAGGUGCAAGACCUGCGCGUGGCCUCGCCGGCCACCGUAUCCCGUUGCGGCAUGGUUUACAUGGAGCCGUACUAUAUGGAUGGCAACCGGGGCUGGGUGCCCAUCGCCCGCAGCCUCAUCGAGGCAAAGGCAAAGAAAGACACUCGCCUGCACGCUGAUCGCCUGCUAGAGCUGCUCGACAGGCUGCUGCCCGACACGCUAGAUUUUGUGCGCACCAACUGCCGCGAGUGGAUCCCGUCCAUCGACGCACAGCUGGCCGUGAACUGCGUGGAGCUUUUGCAGGGCUUUCUAGCUACCUCCGAGGACGCCGCGGUGUGGCCGCGCGAGGCGAUCACCCCAGCCGAGACCCUGGAAGCAGACGACGAAGAUGGCAGCUGGGCGCCGCACGGGGACACAGACACCUACGCGGCUACAAAGCGAAGCUCUUCACUGGCGGCAGCCAUGCCUAUACCGAGCACACCGGCAGAGUUUGCGCGGCCGGCGAUCACCAACACCACGGCCGCGACGCUGGACGAGCGCCGGCUCUUCGACAUGUACUUCCUGAUGGCCUUUGUGUGGGCCGUUGGCGGAAACCUGCGCGACGACGCGCGCGACGUUUUCAGUGCGUUUCUGCGUGACAAGGUGGAGGCUGUGCUGCCGGACUUGCUGCCCCUCUCCUCCAGCGCGGCAGCCGAGUCGGAAGGGACGCAUCGGAGAGUCAGCCUGUACGACUAUGUGGUGCACCGCCCGUCAAUGCAAUUCAUUACGUGGAACCACCUCGUCCCGACGUUCCUGUACAACCAUCGCAGCUCAUACUUCGAUCUGGUGGUCCCGACCGCUGAAGGGGUAGCGCUCAGUACUCUGUUGAGCGUGCUGACGGCGUCCUCGCAGCACAUUCUCGUCAACGGCGUGACUGGCACCGGCAAGUCGCUUGGAGUUACAAGCUUCCUUGCAAGUGCUCUGAACACGGACGAUCCGGCAAGCGUAUGGGAGUCGUUCAGUAUGGUGUUUUCCGCGCAGACGCGCGGCAAAGACAUUGAGGAUCGUCUGGAGAACAAGCUGCACAAGAUCCGCAGCACGGCCCUCGGCCCCACGCCAGGCAAGCGUGCCAUCCUGUUCGUGGACGACAUCAACAUGCCAACCCCGGAGAUCUACGGUGCCUCGCCGCCGCUGGAGCUGCUCCGACAGCUCAUCUCACAGGGCGGCUUCUAUGACACGCACAAAAGCCCGGCCUUCUUCAAGGAACUGCACGACGUGCUGGUGCUCGCGGCGUGCGGUGUACCGGGCGGCGGCCGCAGCGAAAUGACACAGCGUCUCACCUCACGCUUUCACCUGAUUUGCCAGCCGGCACUGUCCGAAUCGUCGACGCGGCGCAUUUUUGGCUCGCUCCUGCACGGCUUCCUGCACCAAUGGGAAUCGGCCGAGAUUCGGGCCCUGUCGACGAAGCUCGUGGCCGCCACCUUGGCGUGCUAUGAGCGCAUCACUCAGGAGAAGCUGCCGACGCCGACGCGUUCGCACUACACGUUCAACCUGCGAGACCUUGGCAAGGUCAUCCAGGGUAUCAUGCAAACCUCACCGCGCGUGACAUCUUCGCCGGAGGCUUUCCACCGCCUCUUCCUGCACGAGGUCUCGCGCACUUUCCACGAUCGCCUGAUCGACGCUGCGGACCGCGCGUGGUGGUGGUCGACGCUGUCGGAGGUGUGCAGUAGCGUGCUGCAGCAUCCCUGGAAUCCGGUUUACGAGGAGCUCAUCUUUGGCGAUUUCAUGCGCCGCGAUCGCGCGCACUACGAGGAGAUCACCGAAACGACGGACGCGAUUGGACACGGGCUGACGGAGUACCAGAACGGCUUCAACAUGGAGUACAACAAGGAGGUUGAGCUGGUUUUCUUUAAAGAUGCUGUGCAGCAUGUAGCGCGCCUGUGCCGUGUGCUCCGCCAGCCGCGCGGCCACGCAGUCGUCGUGGGCAUGGGUGGCACCGGCCGCCAGUCACUCUGCAAGCUCGCCGCCUUCAUCUGCAGCUUACCCAUUUAUGAGGUGACCAUCACGCGCACCUUCAACAUGAAUGAGUUUCACGACGUCCUCAAGAAGGUGCUGCUCGACAGCGCGCGCCACGACAAGCCCGUUCUCUUUUUCCUGUCUGACACCCAGCUCGUGCACGAGGAGAUGCUAGAGGACAUCAACAACCUACUGAACACCGGAGAGGUGCCAAACUUGAUGGAGUCCGAGGAGGUGGAUCAGAUUGUGGAGGCUGUUCGCCCGUACGCCGUCGCGGCUGGAAAGCGUGAAACACGCAACACCAUUUUCUCCCACUUUGUGAGCAUGUGCCGCGACCAGGUUCAUAUUGUAAUGGCGAUGUCGCCGGUGGGCGAGCAGUUCCGCCGGCGCCUGCGCAUGUUUCCGUCGCUCGUUAACUGCUGCACCAUUGAUUGGUUUGACCAGUGGCCGUGCGACGCUCUGGCGUCUGUGGCUGACCGCGUCCUGGCAAACCUCUCCAUGGAGGGGCGCGACAAGGCGCGCCUGAUUGAGCUGUGCGUCGCCAUCCACGUGGAUGUACAGGAGGCAUCGGAGCUGUUCUACAGUGAGCUGCGGCGGCGAACGUACACCACUCCGACGUCAUAUCUGGGACUGCUCACGAGCUACCGGCAGCUGCUGGAGGAGCUGGACAAGUCCGUGGCGGAGCAGGUGGAGCGGUACCAGGGUGGCCUCGACACUCUGCACAGCACACGGACGAUGGUGGAUGCCAUGAAAGCGAAGCUGAUCGAAAUGCAUCCCAGGCUUGUGGAGGCGGCCAAGAACACGGAAGAGAUCAUGAGCCGGGUUGAGAAGGAACAGGAGUCCGCCGAGUUGGUCCGCAAGCAGUGCGCGGAGGAGGAAGAGGGUGCGAGUGAAAUCCAGGCGGAAGCCGAUAGCAUCCGCGGCGAGUGCCAGGCGGAGCUGGACAAGGCCAUGCCGAUUCUGAAAGCCGCUGAGGACGCGCUGGCCGACCUGCGCACCGACGACAUUCGUGAGGUGCGCAGUUUUUUGAAGCCUGCCGUUCGCGUCGUGCUCGUGCUGGAGGCAGUGCUGGUGCUGCUCGGAGAGAAGGACCUCAGUUGGGACCGGGCGAAGCUGGUGAUGAGCCGCAUGGACUUCAUCAAGGAUCUCCAGAACUAUAAGCGCGACGACCUCUCCGAGAAGACGAUCAAGGCAAUCCAGAAAUACAUCAACAACCCAGACUUCCAGCCGGAGGAGGUGGCGAAAAGCUCCAAGGCGUGCAAGUCUCUGGCGAUGUGGGUGAUGGCGAUGAACAACUACUACGAGGUGGUGAAGGUCGUUGCACCGAAGCGGGCGCGGUUGGCGGAGGCGGAAGGCAAGGUCGCUGUGGCCACACAAGCCCUCGAGGCCGCUCGUAGCCGCCUGCGCAGCAUUGAGGAAAAGCUGGCCACCCUGCAGUCCGAGAUGAAGGAGAAUGUGCUCAAGAAGCAUCAGCUGGAGGAGGACAUCGACCUGACCACGCUGCGGCUAGAACGAGCAGAGCAGCUGAUGAACGGCCUAGCCUCGGAGCAGUCCCGCUGGGUGCAGGCCGUGGCGAAGCUCAUGGCGGAGAAGGCGGGCCAUCCCGGCACCGUGGCGCUGGCCGCCGGCGCCGUAGCCUACCUAGGACCCUUUACGGCGCCCUACCGUAAUCGCCUUCUGCAAGCGUGGCACGCUAAGUGUGUGGAGCUUGGGCUGCCCAUCGGCGGCUCGGGCUUUCAGCUGUCCAGCAUCAUGGACCCGGUGCGCAUCCGCACCUGGGCGCAGCAAGGCCUCCCGACAGACCCCUUCAGUGUGGAGAAUGGCGUCAUCGUGAGCAAGUCGCGGCGCUGGUGCCUGUGCAUCGACCCGCAGGGGCAGGCGGUGAGCUGGAUUCGCGCCAUGGAGAAGGAGAACAACUUGCGGGUGAUAAAGCUAACGGACGCGAACUACAUGCGAACACUGGAGAACGCCAUCCGCGUUGGGCUGCCGGUACUAAUCGAGAACGUCGGUGAGUCGCUGGACGCGGCACUUGACCCAGUGCUGCUGCAGCAGACGUACCGCUCGCAGGGCAGACUCCUCAUCAAGCUCGGCGACAGCGAGGUGGACUACGACCCGAAGUUCCGGCUCUACAUGACGACCAAGCUGGCGAACCCCUUUUUUCUGCCAGAGCUGCAGAUCAAGGCGACCAUCAUCAACUUCACGGUGACGCAGACGGGGCUGGAGAACCAGCUGCUCGCGGAUGUGGUGCGGGUGGAGAUGUCGGAGCUGGAGCAGCGGGCAGAUCAGACGGUGCUGGACAUUGCACACGGCAAGGACGAGCUUAAGGCGCUGGAGGACAGGAUCCUGAAGCUGCUGGCCUCGUCGACCGGCAACAUCCUCGACAACGAGCAGCUUGUGAAUACCCUGCAGGAGGCCAAGACGAUGAGCGAGAGCGUGAGCGAUGCGCUGCGAGUGGCGGAGGAGACGCAGCGAGAUAUCGAGGCAGCGCGUGACCGCUACCGCCCCGUUGCGCGGCGCGGCGCCACCGUCUACGCCGUCAUCACAGAGCUCGCUGGCCUGAACCACAUGUACCAAAACUCUCUCGACUUCUUCAAGCAGCUUUUUGUCCUGACGCUUCGGCAAACAGAGAAGCAGGACUCUGUGAGCCAGCGCGUGGAAAUCCUGCUGCCGGCUGUGACGCUGCGCUCCUACAACGCCAUCUGCCGCGGACUCUUCAAGGCGGACAAGCUCAUCUUCGCCGCUCUUCUUUACGUGCACGUAGCGCGGCAAGAGGGCACUAUCGCUGACGAAGAGUGGUCCUUCCUCCUCAAAGGGAGUGAGGGGAAGCGCUUCGUGGAUGAGGAGAUGGACCCGCCGCCGGUGUGGUUGACGCUGCCGGCAUGGAAUGAACUGACGGCGCUGGCGGAGACCUUGCGAGCCUUUGCUUCACUCAAGGACUCGGUCAUAGACAACGAGGCGGAGUGGAGCGAGUGGUACGCCGGGGAGAAAGCCUACGAGUCCUACCCCGCCAGCCUCGGCUCCUACUCACCUUGGCAGCGACUGCUUAUCCUUAAAGUGUUCCGGGAGGAUUUGCUCAACUACGGACUCUCCCGCCUCAUCGAAAGCGAGCUUGGCAAGGCCUUCACGGAGAGCCCAGCUUUCGACCUCGAAGGGUGCUACCAGGACAGCACUCCGACAGCGCCGGUGAUCUUUGUGCUGACUCCUGGCACGGACCCAACGCAGCUCUUCACGGAGUUUGCAGAGCGCAAAGGCUUUGGCGCGCGCAAGAUGAUGCUGUCGCUUGGCCAGGAUCAGGGCCGCAAGGCCGAGGAGAUGAUCCGGGUCGCCAGCACCGAGACAGGGGCCUGGGUAUACCUUCAGAACUGCCAUGUGUACACGUCGUGGAUGCCGUCGCUAGAGCACAUAUUGGAGGAGCUGACGCACCGCGAGGUGCAGCGCGACUUCCGGCUGUGGCUCACCACGAUGCCGGUGUCCUCCUUCCCGGUACUGCUGCUGCAGUCGGGCGUGAAGGUGGUGAAGGAGCCGCCGCAGGGGCUGAAGGCGAACAUGCGCGACACCUUCGCUGUGGCAGUGACGGAGGAUCUGUGGAACAGCUGCCCCCGCAACCCGACGACGUGGCGCCGCAUGCUUCUCUCACUGGCAUUUUUCCACGCCGUCAUCCAGGAGCGCCGCCGCUUCGGCCCGCUUGGUUGGAACAUCCCGUACGAAUGGAAUCAGCCGGACCUCUCGGCGAGUCUGCAGUCGCUGCAGACGUACUUGAAAGACGAGGACGAGGCCGUGCCGUGGGGUGCGCUGCGCUACAUGGUCGGGGUCAUCAACUACGGUGGUCGUGUGACGGACUUUUUGGACAGCCGUUGCUUAUCCACUAUCCUUGUGAAGUUCUUCAACGACGACGUUGUCGCGCCGAACACGCAGUUCGACGUCUCGCCGGAUGGCAUCUACCACAUCCCAGAGGAUGUGUCGUCGCUCGCCAGCAUCUGUGCGUACCUGAAUGACCUGCCGACCUUCGAGAGCCCUCAGCUGUUCGGGCUUCACGCAAACGCGGAUAUCACCUUUAACAAGAACACAGUGCGGCGCCAACUCGCCGCCAUUCUGUCCGUGCAGCCGCGCACAAAGGCGGCGGCGGGCCGCAGCCCGGAGGACAAGGUGUUAGAGAUGGUGAAUGAGUUUCAGCGGCGGCUGCCCGCGGCUAUCGACAAGACGCACGCGCACCCAGACACGUAUCGGCUCACCGAGGCGGGCACAAUGAUUUCGCUCGGCACCGUGGCAAGCCAGGAGAUCCUGUUCUUCAACGGCGUGCUCGCAAAGCUGGAGCGAACGCUGCACCUGCUGCGGCGGGCGAUCAAAGGUGAGGUGGUCAUGUCUGCGGAGCUCGAGGCCAUGUUCGACGCGAUGCUGCUGGGACAGGUGCCAAAGCCGUGGCAAGACGGCGGCUACCUCUCGCGAAAACCGCUUGCCUCCUGGUAUGAGGACACGCUGAAGCGCAUCGAGUUCUUCCGCGACUGGAACGACAACGGACUGCCGACCAGCUUCUGGAUCUCCGGCUUCUUCUUUCCGCAAGGGUUUCUCACCGGCGUGCUGCAGACAUACAGCCGUAUGCACCAGGUGCCGAUUGACGAGGUGAAGUUCUGCACCCACGUGACGUGUUACGAGCUGCCGGAGGAUAUUGAGGACAGCGUGGAGAAUGGUGUGUACAUCCACGGCGUCUUUGUCGAAGGCGCCGGCUUCGAUCUAGACAGCUCGACGCUGGUGGAGAGCAAGGCAGGUGAACUGUAUGCGCCUAUGCCGGUCAUCCACCUUGAGCCCGUACGGCUCAGCGAAACGACGGCGACGGCUGAAUCCUAUGCGUGCCCGCUUUACAAGACGUCCGCCCGUGUCGGCACGCUCUCCACAACCGGCCUGUCUACCAACUACGUCGUGACGCUCGACCUCACGUCCGCAGCGGGGGUGGGCCCGAGGCACUGGAUUGAGCGAGGUGUGGCGCUGCUGUGUAUGCUGGAUGAUUAAGCCAGUGCUCAUGUCUAUAAUUAUGUGUAUGUGUGUGCCGGCACCGCUGCCCUUGUCGAUGUACACGAACAUUUUUCUGUCUCUUUGUGUAUGUAUGUGCUCUCCCUCUCAAUAGACUUCUCUUUCCAGAAUUGUUUCGUGUGAGUGCGUGUGUGUUCAUCUCUGUCCUCCCUUUCUGGCAGGAAGCACAUAACCACAUUCACGCAUGCAUCGUGUUUGCCUCCGCCGCACUUAUCAUCACCCCAUACUAC